rnacentral:rRNA from 1 species
AACGAACGCUGGCGGCAGGCUUAACACAUGCAAGUCGAACGCAUCCUUCGGGGUGAGUGGCAGACGGGUGAGUAACGCGUGGGAACGUGCCCUUCAGUUCGGGAUAACCCAGGGAAACUUGGGCUAAUACCGGAUACGUGCGAGAGCAGAAAGAUUUAUCGCUGAAGGAUCGGCCCGCGUCUGAUUAGCUAGUUGGUGGGGUAAUGGCCCACCAAGGCGACGAUCAGUAGCUGGUCUGAGAGGAUGAUCAGCAACAUUGGGACUGAGACACGGCCCAAAAUCCUACGGGAGGCAGCAGUGGGGAAUAUUGGACAAUGGGCGCAAGCCUGAUCCAGCCAUGCCGCGUGAGUGAUGAAGGCCUUAGGGUUGUAAAGCUCUUUCGUCCGGGACGAUAAUGACGGUACCGGAAGAAGAAGCCCCGGCUAACUUCGUGCCAGCCGCCGCGGUAA